ACUAUUUUUUUGUUCCUCGGACAAGAGCAAGGUGGUUGAAUACAACUUAGGUCUCAAAUCUCGGAAAUCAACAGCUUCAGUCUCAGAUCUUGGAUAAGACAAAGGUCGAAGGCUGUAGAUUUGAUUGGACAAGGGCAGAUUGAGUUUACUCCAUUUUCAACCGACAUGGAAAGUUUCGUCGUUCUCCCUUGUUUUCCUCGCCGUCGCUGUGUGUGGUGAGUUUGCUUUCUCUAUAAAGGGAUUUUCCUUAUAUAAGCUGUGAAAUUCGUACAUAGGUGGUGCGCAUUAAGUUCUGUAAAGUACUGUUCUGGUAUGGAUACUGAUGGAGCUUUUAAAUGGGUAGACCAAUUGCAGGUAACCUACGCCUAAUGAAUAAUUAGAACCAUUGCUAGAAUGAUUUAUUGAGUAAUUUUUAAUCAACUAUUUGCUUGAAAAUUGUAGCUUUUGUUUUUUUUUUAAUAUGCAUUGCAUUUGUGAUUUCAAUUGGCAAUAUUAAUACUUUUGUUCAAUAUGGAGUUUAGCCUGUCAUUUUUAAUUUUAGAAGGUGUGCAACCUUAACUAGCUAGUCUCCAUUUUGAAUUGAUGCUUAAAGAAAAUGCCUCAUGAUCAAAUAUUGUAAAAUAGUAUGUUAUUUUUGGUGGUGGAGAUGGAGUGUUUAAAUACAACGGAUAGCUUCUUAAUUUAGGGCUUUAUGUUCAUUACUUGAUGAGCAUUUCAUCACUAAGAAUGAUGGAGCUGCUCUUAUCAGAAGUUUUGAACUGUCUAAGAUCAGUGCUGUACUAGCAUGCAAUUUGUAUUUCUCACAUGAGUAUCCCCCUUCCUUUAAAUAUUCAUUAUUUAAUAAAUAACAAACUAGCAGUUAAAGAACGCCCCUUUUUUAUUUUUGAAAAAAAAGUUUAUUUUAGUUUUUGAAGUUAUUUGCUUUUGUUUGGUGUUUUUGUUUUAAGAUAUGAUUUGUGGGAGCUUUGGUUUAUGGGUCUUUGUUGCUCCAAAUGGAUGGAAAGCUGAUCCGAUAAAAUUAUGAUCUGGCAUUCAUUUAUUAUUCUACAUAAAAGUCAUAUAUUCUCCCCAGCACUUGUCUAUUUUUAUAUAGUACAAUUAUAGAUCUGAAAAGGAAAAUAUUGCUUAAGAAUUUUAUCCAGACAGUAUGUAAAGGCUGGAGGGACACAUUUUCUUUUCUCAUAGCUUCUUCUGAUUCCUAUAUGUUCCCACCCUGAAGUCGGUGCUAAAAUGUACAACAUUUCUGAAAAGAAAUUUUGGGUGGCUGUUUGUCUUUGUUGUAUGAAUCAUUUUCUAGUUUCUCUUGUAAUUUCUCUUAUUACUUUAUCUUCAAAAAGUUACUAGACAAUGAUUCUAAAUGGAUGCACUAUGCCUCUUGGGAUUACAAUUGACUGCUUGGAGCUUCUAUUUUUAGCAAAUAAUUCCCUCUUUGAAUUACAAUAUUAAAAAAAUGAAUAUUUUAAAUUAAUCAUUAACUGCAUUUUGAAGAUUUUAUUAUAUGAAAUAAUAUUUUAAAUUCUCUCAUGAACUUUUUUCCUAAAAUUGUCUUCUUUUUUUAAUAAAAAACUUAGUUUUACCAUAUGUUUUAGUUAUUUAAAACAUUAAAAUCACUACUAUUAGAAUCUUAGGAGCAGCUGGAUUAAGUACAUAACAAAUUCAAAAGCUAUUUUGUAUGAUUUCUACCAUCUAAAAUUUUCCCAAAAGUUGAUUAAACUUUAACCAAGCUGUAGUUAUCUAUUUCACUUCACAUUUAAUCAUUUUUUUAAUAAUAAUAAAUAAUUAAAUUAGUUUGAAUUUUAUUUUGAUUACCAAUAAUUUCUUUUCCUUUCAAUAAAUUAAAUAUAUACAAAUUAAAUUGAUGGUCUAUGUAUCUUAAAUGGUGAACAUUUUCAUUCUAUAUAUCAUUUCAUUUCAUUGUUAUAUAAAUAGCAUGCAAAAUUUUUUUAGCAGAAUGUCAAACAACUCAAACUCAAAUGCGAUUGACUUAACUUCUCCUAUUGAUAACGCUUGUUCUAUUGCUUUUCUUUCUACUCAAGAUUUAUCUACAAGCCCAAUCAUGGAUGAUGCUACUAUAAAUGUUGAUGAGUCAAAUCAGAACAAAGAAAAAGAUAUCAUCGAGGCAAAUGAAGAGGAGGAAAAUCCAUUUGCUUAAAAGAAAAGGAAGCGAACAUCUAAGGUAUGGGUUGAGUUUAAAGAAGUUACUCUUCCUGAUGGAAUAAUAAAAGUAGAGUGCAUUCACUGUAAAAACCAACUGGGAGUUAACAAGAAUGGUGCCACAACACAUUUUCUUAGAAAUUUAAAGAUUUGUCCAAAAAGGAAAGUGAAUUUGAAAGGUCAAAAACUUAGUGUCACUACAACACUAGCUGAGACAAAAAGUGUGACUUCUGUAUAGAAUUUUAAAUAUGACCAUGCCAAGAUAAGAAAAAUCCUUGCCCAUAUGAUUCUUGUUCAUGAGUUGCCAUUUCUUUUUAUAGAGUAUGAGCUUUUCAAUUUGUUAAUGAGAACUGCAACUCCAUAUUAUCAAAAGAUUAGUUGUGCAACUAUAAGAAAGGAUUGUUUCUCUGCUUAUGAUAUUGAGAUUGUUUCUCCGCUUAUAAUAUUAAGAAAAAGAAAGUGAAGGAUUGGCUAAUGCAUAUUUACAAAGUUAGUGUGACCAAAGAUUUAUGGAAGUCAGGUCAGCAGGUUUCAUACAUAGUUGUUACUGCACACUUUAUGGACUCCAACUGGAAUUUGCAAAAGCAUACUUUGAACUUCUAUGAUGUUCCACCACCUCAUACAGGAGUUGUUAUAUGUGAUGUGCUGCAAAAAUGUUUAGCUGAAUGGGAAAUUGAAGAUAAGAUAUGGAUUGUUUUUGUUGAUAAUGCUG
rnacentral:misc_RNA from 1 species